rnacentral:rRNA from 1 species
GACGAACGCUGGCGGCGUGCUUAACACAUGCAAGUCGAACGGUAAGGCCCUUCGGGGUACACGAGUGGCGAACGGGUGAGUAACACGUGGGUGAUCUGCCCUGCACUUCGGGAUAAGCCUGGGAAACUGGGUCUAAUACCGGAGAGGACCACUGCCUGCAUGGGCGGUGGUGGAAAGCUUUUGCGGUGUGGGAUGGGCCCGCGGCCUAUCAGCUUGUUGGUGGGGUGAUGGCCGACCAAGGCGACGACGGGUAGCCGGCCUGAGAGGGUGACCGGCCACACUGGGACUGAGAUACGGCCCAGACUCCUACGGGAGGCAGCAGUGGGGAAUAUUGCACAAUGGGCGCAAGCCUGAUGCAGCGACGCCGCGUGAGGGAUGACGGCCUUCGGGUUGUAAACCUCUUUCAGCACCGACGAAGCGCAAGUGACGGUAGGUGCAGAAGAAGGACCGGCCAACUACGUGCCAGCAGCCGCGGUAA